UUGAGACUGACGCAACAACUGAAAACAGAGGUCUGCUGGAUACCCUAGUCUGGACCUUUAUGUUGUCCUGUGGCCGGAAAAUUGUUUGCAGAGCUUUGUAGGAUGGCCAUGUUUGGUUAAGAAGCAUGACAGAUGAGCACAGAUGUUUUGCAAAUAUUGCUGGACUCAAUUGCUUUUCCUGUACUCCAUGUUGACUUUCUGACAGUGAAAGAAGGACAUGCUUCAGGAUGUCCAAG